GACGAACGCUGGCGGCGUGCUUAACACAUGCAAGUCGAACGAAGAGCGAUGGAAGCUUGCUUCUAUCAAUGUUAGUGGCGAACGGGUGAGUAACGCGUAAUCAACCUGCCCUUCAGAGGGGGACAACAGUUGGAAACGACUGCUAAUACCGCAUACGAUCUGACCUCGGCAUCGAGGAUAGAUGAAAGGUGGCCUCUACAUGUAAGCUAUCACUGAAGGAGGGGAUUGCGUCUGAUUAGCUAGUUGGAGGGGUAACGGCCCACCAAGGCGAUGAUCAGUAGCCGGUCUGAGACGAUGAACGGCCACAUUGGGACUGAGACACGGCCCAGACUCCUACGGGAGGCAGCAGUGGGGAAUCUUCCGCAAUGGACGAAAGUCUGACGGAGCAACGCCGCGUGAGUGAUGACGGCCUUCGGGUUGUAAAGCUCUGUUAAUCGGGACGAAAGGACUUUUUGCGAAUAGUGAGAAGGAUUGACGGUACCGGAAUAGAAAGCCACGGCUAACUACGUG
rnacentral:rRNA from 1 species